GUGAAUCCUUGAUGGAUCUCAUAGGUUCUUGGAAAGUAGCGGGACUGGAAAAAGUAUGAAUUCAGAGUGGCUGGGGGAUGCAGGGGAGGGAAAGAAGAGAGCAAGUGUUCAAUCUUUAGAGACUUUUCAAAUUAAUUUCAAUAAGAAACUACAGUCAGAUUUCAGAGUUUGUAUUCAAUUAUUGUAGUGAACUUUUCUUAUUUUGUGUGUGUGUGUGUGCUUCCUUUUUAAGGUAGUGCUCUAGACACGGCUGACGGCUGCACUCAUGUACUGUGAACAGGAGGGGUUUGGCUGUGGUUGCUUGCACAAGACCUGCACAAGACCACACCGAUCAAUGUUCAGGAAAUCACACUGAGUGACUUGAAUUCAUCUAGCAUUCCAGGGAAAAAUCCAAUUGGUCAUUGUGGUGUUUAAUCUUUAUUGUCAACUUGAUAGAUUUUGAGUUGCCAUGGAACAAACCUCUGAGCAUAUCUAUGAGAAACUUCUACAUUAGGCUAAUCGAGAUGGGAAGACUCAUCUUAAAUGUGAAUACCUCAUUCCAUGGGCUAGGGUCCAUGUCUGAAAAGAGAGGAAAAGGAAACCAGAUUGGUGUAACAUUCAUUGUUCUUUGCUUUCUAACUGUGGCUACAAUGUGACCACUUCUCUUUGCUUUCUAACUGUGGAUAUAAUGUGACCUCAGGGGUCUUUGCUGCUAGGAUUUCCCUGUCAUGAUGUUCAGUAUCCUCAAACUGUGAGCCAAGCUAAACUUUCCUUGAAUUGUUUUUGUUAUUUUCUUUAAAAUAUUAUUAUUUUACUUUAUGUGAAUGGAUGUUUGCCUGUAUGCAUAUCUGUGUAUCAUGUAGAUGCCUGGUAUCUAUUGAGAACAGGGGAGGGCAUAGGAUUACCUGGAACUAGAGUUACAGAUGGUUGGGAGCCACCAUGAAUCCCAGCCAUUGGGAAGAGUAGCCAGUGCUCUUACCUGCUGAGCUAUCUCUUCAGCCCCUGUUAGGAUUUUUUAAAAUUUUAAUCAUAGCAACAAGAAAAGUAACUUCACACAUACACACACAGACAGACACAGACACACACACACACACACAGACACACAGACACACAGACACACAGACACACACACACUUCUGUUUUAUGUUGUUGAUUUUUAUGAAACUAAUAUCUAGAGCUUUUUGAAUCUAUAUUUAAAAAUUAUAUCGAUCUACAAACUUAUUACCUAGUAGUAUCUGUUAAAAUGUCAUGCAAGAUGAUAGGCCAAUUUUGUAUUUUCUGAAAAAAUUGAGUAAGAUUGAUAGCAUUUUUUCUUAAAUGUUUGAUAGAACUUAAAGUUAUAUGAACCUCUGACUUACUUUGUGGUAAGGUUUUUUAUGGUAAACUUAAUUUUUUUAGUAGAAAAUAAUAGAUAAGUUUAUAAUAAAAUAAAGUAGUAAACAGAUAUAGUUAGACUUUUACAUUUAUUGUUGCAUUUAGGUAAGUUGUACUUUUAAGAUUGUUUCCAUUUUAUUUAAAUUGUCAAAUUUGUUCAAGACUAACUUUUUUAUAUGCCCUUAAUAAUGGUUACAAAAAUAUACCAACAGUCUCUCUUUAACUCUAGUAGGAACUAUACCAACAAUCUCUCUUUAACUCUGAUAGGACAAUUUAUGCUUUUUAUUUCUUCCCCUUGUUUGAUUUUCUAGAGAAUUUUCAAUUUUUUGUUUGUUGUCUGAUCUUUGUAGGAUAGAUUUAGGCUAGUUUUAGUUUUGUUUGUGUUAAAAUACCUGCUUCACAUAGUGUGAGGCAAUUAAGAGCUGGCAAUGACAGGAGUUAAUCAUAACCAAGUUUUUAAGCUCCACAGUGGUCAGGGUGCUGCAUUGUCCCCUCUAAUGGGCCAUGUCUAAUCUUCCGAGUAUCACUGCUAUUGGAGAUUUUGAAAGGUCUGUCACCUUGCCUAGGGUCACAUGACUGCCAGUGGCUUUCUGAGAUUUUUGGAGCCAUGAGCUUCCCAGGACAUCAUGUUUCCUCUCCACAACGCUUAGAAGUUUCUCAGCUCAGCUGAAAGACUUGAAUUCUGUUGUCUCCAGGUUCUGACUCCUAGAGUCAUUCACUAGUGAGCGUAUCAGAGACAAUGUACUCCUGUCUCUGGCAGGGCAUAUCCCUUCUAAUUUAAACCUCUGCCAAACACUAAGCCUUUCUUUAAAAAUUGAUUGCUUACAGAGCUGGUCCCAAUACAGAUGUUGUACCCAGGGCACGUCUGCACGUAAGACCCAAGAGCAUGCUUUUCUUCUUAAAGAUAAGCAGCUGGUUUACAAUUACUUAUUCAUCAUGUAAACAAAUAUUUAAUGAUUUAUACUUUUCUAAUUCUGAAAGCAUACCAGGCAAGUAGAAAAUAACAUACAUAAUACUGUGCUUUAUACGUCAUACAAACUAGGCUUUCUUUAUUAAAAAACAAAACAAAACAAAGACAAAGCCACAAGCUAAAAGCUAUUAUUCUUUUCCAAAUUCACAAGAUGAGGAAAAAGUAGGUUCAAAUUCAUGACCCCUUUCUCCAGUUCUUCUUACCCCACUGGUCUAUAUUGUUAUUAUUUAUACCACAGAUGAAAGAAAAGAAUCCAUAGGCCAGUGAAAUAGCUCUGUGGGUAAAGGUGCUUUGGUGCAAGCCAGGUGACCUGAGUUCUGUAACUGGAACCCACAUCAAAAUGGAGGGAGAGGACUGAAUCUACAAAGCUGUCCCCUAGUCUUCUCAUGCAUGUUGUGGUGUGUGUAUCCACACAUACACAUACAUACACACACAUACAUACAUAUACAUAUACACAUAUACACACAAAUAUGCAUACACAUACACAUACACACAUAUACAUAUAUACACAUACACAUAUAUACCUACUCAUUUGCACACAUACACAUACAAAUACAUAUACACACGUACACAUAUAUACACACACAUACACACAUGCACAAACACAUACAUACACACAUAUAUACAUACACAUACAAACACACACAUAUAUAUAUAUAUACAUACACAUACAUGUAUACACACACAUACACACACUGCUUUUAAAGAAUAGAAAAUAAAUCAAAAUAAUAAAUUAUGCAAAAGUUGUUUAUAAUAACAAUAUAUCAGUUACCAAGUUCUUCUGUUGUUUCAUUUGAAAUAAGUAUUGAAAUUUUUCCUGAGAGUUAUGAUACAAAAGACAAACUUAUAAUGACAACCUUGAUGAGUAAUUUUUCACCAAUAAAGUGUCAGUUGUAAAUCAAUGAGAAUACUUAAUUCCACUUCAAAAUGCGUUUAAAGUGGGUUGUGUAAACUAACAAGAAGGGCCGACACGGUUACCAGGAAACCAGGUCCCAUCUAGCCUUGCUGUCUUGAGGGAUAGGCCAUACUUGACUAUCUGAAGAUAAUCUCAGCAGCUCACAGAGAAAUCUGUCAGUCAAAAGGGCCAUGUAACAUAUAUACCAUACAACAACCACAUUGUGCUUGUGGCUUUUUGUAGCCAUUUCAAGAUUUUAAGGUCUUUGCAAGUGGAAACCCCUCUUCUAGAUCUUGUGAUCUUUGCAAGGAACUUAGUGGGGUCCAGCCCAUUGACUAACUACUAAAUAGUGGUAGACAGCUAAAAGUGCUUUGAGGCCACAAAAGGAGACACCCAUGAGUAAACACAGGAGAGAAUGAAGAUGACAUAAGGCGCCUGGCAGGAGACACUGGUUGUGUAAGAGAGAAGGAUGCCGAGCAGCCUGGCUGCCUGUGCGGGACUUCCCACUUAGCAGCACACUCAGAGGCUCAGCUGAAGAAAUCAGAGUACUCCCCACCUUUCGGCGUGCCCCCCUCAGGGCACCAGGGGUCUGAAGAAGGGUCUAAAGCAGGGGGGAUCCACCCUGACUCCAGGUUGGGGUGGCUAUUCUGCCA
rnacentral:lncRNA from 1 species